CAGAGUAUAGCUUAUACAUAAAGCUUUUUAGUUACAUUAAUAAGAAAACAGUUCGUUUAGUCUGA
rnacentral:tRNA from 1 species